UACGGAGGGGGCUAGCGUUGUUCGGAAUUACUGGGCGUAAAGCGUGCGCAGGCGGUUUUGUAAGUUUGUCGUGAAAGCCCCGGGCUCAACCUGGGAAUUGCGAUGAAGACUGCAAGGCUUGAAUCUGGCAGAGGGGGGUAGAAUUCCACGUGUAGCAGGUGAAAUGCGUAGAGAUGUGGAGGAACACCGAUGGCGAAGGCAGCCCCCUGGGUCAAGAUUGACGCUCAUGCACGAAAGCGUGGGGAGCAAACAGG
rnacentral:rRNA from 1 species